GGGGAUAGUUCAAUGGUAGAACACAGAUGUUUCCUCUUUCAUUGCAUAAUAGCAUCUGAGACAUGCGGUUCAAAUCCGCAGAUCCCGAUUAACCCA
rnacentral:tRNA from 1 species